rnacentral:rRNA from 1 species
UGCGUAGGUGGUCGGGUAAGUCUGAUGUGAAAUCUCGGAGCUCAACUCCGAAACGGCAUUGGAUACUAUCCGGCUUGAGAGUUGGAGGGGGGACUGGAAUUCUCGGUGUAGCAGUGAAAUGCGUAGAUAUCGAGAGGAACACCAGUGGCGAAGGCGAGUCCCUGGACAACUUCUGACACUGAGGCACGAAAGCCAGGGGAGCAAACGGGAUUAGAUACCCCGGUAGUCCUGGCCCUAAACGGUGCACGUUUGCUGUAAAAGGAAUCGACCCCUUUUGUGGCGUAGCCAACGCGUUAAACGUGCCGCCUGGGAAGUACGGUCGCAAGAUUAAA